GACGAACGCUGGCGGCGUGCCUAAUACAUGCCAGUCGAACGCUGAAGGAGGAGCUUGCUUCUCUGGAUGAGUUGCGAACGGGUGAGUAACGCGUAGGUAACCUGCCUGGUAGCGGGGGAUAACUAUUGGAAACGAUAGCUAAUACCGCAUAAGAGUAGAUGUUGCAUGACAUUUGCUUAAAAGGUGCAAUUGCAUCACUACCAGAUGGACCUGCGUUGUAUUAGCUAGUUGGUGGGGUAACGGCUCACCAAGGCGACGAUACAUAGCCGACCUAAGAGGGUGAGCGGCCACACUGGGACUGAGACACGGCCCAGACUCCUACGGGAGGCAGCAGUAGGGAAUCUUCGGCAAUGGACGGAAGUCUGACCGAGCAACGCCGCGUGAGUGAAGAAGGUUUUCGGAUCGUAAAGCUCUGUUGUAAGAGAAGAACGAGGGUGAGAGUGGAAAGUUCACACUGUGACGGUAUCUUACCAGAAAGGGACGGCUAACUACGUG
rnacentral:rRNA from 1 species